rnacentral:rRNA from 1 species
AAUGAACGCUGGCGGCAGGCCUAACACAUGCAAGUCGAACGGGAUCUUCGGAUCCAGUGGCGGACGGGUGAGUAACGCGUGGGAACGUGCCCUUUGCUUCGGAAUAGCCCCGGGAAACUGGGAGUAAUACCGGAUGUGCCCUUUGGGGGAAAGAUUUAUCGGCAAAGGAUCGGCCCGCGUUGGAUUGGGUAGUUGGUGGGGUAAUGGCCUACCAAGCCGACGAUCCAUAGCUGGUUUGAGAGGAUGAUCAGCCACACUGGGACUGAGACACGGCCCAGACUCCUACGGGAGGCAGCAGUGGGGAAUCUUAGACAAUGGGGGAAACCCUGAUCUAGCCAUGCCGCGUGAUCGAUGAAGGCCUUAGGGUUGUAAAGAUCUUUCAGAUGGGAAGAUAAUGACGGUACCAUCAGAAGAAGCCCCGGCUAACUCCGUG